rnacentral:rRNA from 1 species
AUGCGAAAAGAAAUAGAGGAAGGAUCCAUCACGCCAAUCAAGAUCGCUCGGGGAAGCCCAGGUAUCUCAAAUCUGCUAUUCGCGGACGACAGUAUGUUGUUCUUUCGUGCGUCUGUAGAACAAGCAAAAGUUAUCCGGAGUGCUCUGGACAGAUUUCAAAGUGGCACAGGGCAACUCCUUAGUACUAGCAAAUGCUCGGUACUGUUCUCUGAGAGAUGCCCAAGUAACAUUCAGACUGAGAUCAAGAACAUUUUGUUGGUGGAAACCUCUACGUUCGAAAGCAAAUACCUGGGGCUACCAACGCCAGAGGGGAGAAUGAAGGAUGAGAACUUUCAACCCAUCAUGGAAAGGUUCAUGAAGAGAUGUAGCAACCGGAAUGGUAGACAUAUGUCCUUUGCUGCGAAAGAAGUGUACGUCAAAUCAAUAGUGCAAGCACUACCGACCUUCACUAUGGGCGUGUUUAAAAUGUCAGUUGGUUUCUGUGAGAAAUAUGAAAGAUUAAUAAGAGAAUUCUGGUGGGGAGAAGAGGAGGGCCAGCGCAAGGUUCACUGGAUGUCGUGGGACAAAAUGACGAAAUCGAAGAGA